rnacentral:rRNA from 1 species
CUAGUACUGCGAGUGAAGCGGGAAAAGCUCAAAUUUGAAAUCUGGCAGUCUUUUUUUUCUUCUUUGGCUGUCCGAGUUGUAAUCUAGAGAAGUGCUUACCUGCGCUGGACCAUGUAUAAGUCUCCUGGAAUGGAGCGUCACAGAGGGUGAGAAUCCCGUCUUUGACAUGGACUGCCAGUGUGUUGUGGUGCGCUCUCAAAGAGUCGAGUUGUUUGGGAAUGCAGCUCUAAAUGGGUGGUAAACUCCAUCUAAAGCUAAAUAUUGGCGAGAGACCGAUAGCGAACAAGUACCGUGAGGGAAAGAUGAAAAGGACUUUGGAAAGAGAGUUAAACAGUAUGUGAAAUUGUUGAAAGGGAAACGCUUGAAGUCAGUUGUGUCGGCUAGGGAUCAACCUAGCUGUUUU